rnacentral:rRNA from 1 species
CCGCAAUGGGCGAAAGCCUGACGGAGCAACGCCGCGUGAGGGACGAAGGCCUCUGGGCUGUAAACCUCUUUUCUCAAGGAAGAAGAUAUGACGGUACUUGAGGAAUAAGCCACGGCUAAUUCCGUGCUAGCAGCCGCGGUAAUACGGGAGUGGCAAGCGUUAUCCGGAAUUAUUGGGCGUAAAGCGUCCGCAGGCGGCUUUUCAAGUCUGCUGUUAAAGCGUGGAGCUUAACUCCAUCAUGGCAGUGGAAACUGAAAGGCUUGAGUAUGGUAGGGGCAGAGGGAAUUCCCGGUGUAGCGGUGAAAUGCGUAGAUAUCGGGAAGAACACCAGUGGCGAAGGCGCUCUGCUGGGCCAUUACUGACGCUCAUGGACGAAAGCCAGGGGAGCGAAAGGGAUUAGAUACCCCUGUAGUCCUGGCCGU